rnacentral:rRNA from 1 species
UACGGAGGGAGCAAGCGUUACUCGGAAUUAUUGGGCGUAAAGGGCGCGUAGGCGAUCCUUCAUGUCCUGUGUGAAAGCCCAUGGCUUAACUGUGGAAGUGCACAGGAAACUGUAGGAUUUGAGUUCCGGAGAGGAAGGCAGAAUUCCCGGUGUAGCGGUGAAAUGCGUAGAUAUCGGGAGGAAUACCAGUGGCGAAGGCGGCCUUCUGGACGGAUACUGACGCUGAGGCGCGAAAGCCAGGGGAGCAAAC